rnacentral:rRNA from 1 species
GGCGUAAAGAGCUCGUAGGCGGUUUGUCGCGUCUGCUGUGAAAUCCCGAGGCUCAACCUCGGGUCUGCAGUGGGUACGGGCAGACUAGAGUGUGGUAGGGGAGAUUGGAAUUCCUGGUGUAGCGGUGGAAUGCGCAGAUAUCAGGAGGAACACCGAUGGCGAAGGCAGAUCUCUGGGCCAUUACUGACGCUGAGGAGCGAAAGCAUGGGGAGCGAACAGGAUUAGAUACCCUGGUAGUCCAUGCCGUAAACGUUGGGCGCUAGAUGUGGGGACCAUUCCACGGUUUCCGUGUCGUAGCUAACGCAUUAAGCGCCCCGCCUGGGGAGUACGGCCGCAAGGCUAAAACUCAAAGGAAUUGACGGGGGCCCGCACAAGCGGCGGAGCAUGCGGAUUAAUUCGAUGCAACGCGAAGAACCUUACCAAGGCUUGACAUAUACCGGAAACGUUCAGAAAUGUUCGCCCCGCAAGGUCGGUAUACAGGUGGUGCAUGGUUGUCGUCAGCUCGUGUCGUGAGAUGUUGGGUUAAGUCCCGCAACGAGCGCAACCCUCGUCGUAUGUUGCCAGCACGUAAUGGUGGGAACUCAUAUGAGACUGCCGGGGUCAACUCGGAGGAAGGUGGGGAUGACGUCAAAUCAUCAUGCCCCUUAUGUCUUGGGCUUCACGCAUGCUACAAUGGCUGGUACAAUGGGCUGCAAUACCGCGAGGUGGAGCGAAUCCCAAAAAGCCAGUCUCAGUUCGGAUUGGGGUCUGCAACUCGACCCCAUGAAGUCGGAGUCGCUAGUAAUCGCAGAUCAGCAACGCUGCGGUGAAUAC